rnacentral:lncRNA from 1 species
GCGCCCGGCCCCGCCGCCGCUCGCGCCGGCUCGUCCGCGUGCGGCGAGGAGGCGCCGCGCCGCACCGCCCGGCUGGGACCGAGACCCGGGGAGGGACCCGCCGCCCCGGUGCCCUCCGCGGGGAGUCGCCGGGGGCAGCCCGGAGGGGGACGCAGGGAAGCGCUCGCCUUUCUCAGGCCGCAGACAAAAGGGCGCCGAGCGGCCGCCGCAGCCCCCACUGCUGCCGAGGCUCCGUCCCUCGCCGCCGCCGCCGCCGCCUCCUGUGUGUCCGGCUGAACCAUAGAGAUCAUUUAAGGCGGGGGGAGAGAGGGGCUCAUCCGCUGCCCACGUGACUGGACAUGUCACUCACCCGGCCAGCGCCAUCUUGGAGCGGGAGGGGGGACGCUGCUCGCAGCUCGUAUUCAAGAUGGCGCGGGCCGUGCGGGAGGCUGCUAUUCACAGACGGACGCUGCGCCACUCCACUGUAGCUCUCCCUGCGAUUCCUGCCGGACUGCACAGGAAGGUGCUACGUCCGUCCUGGGGGAUGCCGGGAGGGGGAGACUCUACUGCUCUCGAUCCGGGGCCCCAUGAAAGACGCGGGAAAAGCGGCGGCCGGGGCGGAGGCCGUGCGCAUGCCCCAGCACCGCCCGCGGAGAGCCGAGGCGGGCCGUAUCAGAAAUGAAAAAAUAAAACAACCCAACAGGAAAACA